AUACGUAGGUGACAAGCGUUAUCCGGAUUUACUGGGUGGAAAGGGCGUGUAGGCGGUUUAGCAAGUCAGAAGAGAAAUUCCCGGGCUUAACUUGGGCGCUGCUUCUGAAACUGCUUUACUUGAGUGCUGGAGAGGAUAGUGGAAUUCCUAGUGUAGCGGUAAAAUGCGCAGAUAUUAGGAGGAACACCGGUGGCGAAGGCGGCUAUCUGGACAGUAACUGACGCUGAGGCGCGAAAGCACGGGGAGCAAACAGGAUUAGAUACCCUGGUAGUCCUAGCCGUAAACGAUGGGUACUAGGUGUAGGGGGUUUAGACGCCCUCUGUGCCGCAGUUAACACAUUAAGUACCCCGCCUGGGGAGUACGGCCGCAAGGCUAAAACUCAAAGGAAUUGGCGGGG
rnacentral:rRNA from 1 species